rnacentral:rRNA from 1 species
GUGGGGAAUAUUGGGCAAUGGGCGGAAGCCUGACCCAGCGACGCCGCGUGGGGGAAGAAGUCUUUCGGGAUGUAAACCCUUGUUGUACGGGACGAAGGAAGUGACGGUACCGUACGAGGAAGCCCCGGCAAACUACGUGCCAGCAGCCGCGGUAAUACGUAGGGGGCGAGCGUUGUCCGGAAUCACUGGGCGUAAAGCGCACGUAGGCGGGCUGUCAAGUCGGCCGUGAAGGGCACGGGCUCAACCUGUGCAUGUCGGUCGAUACUGGCGGUCUGGAGUAUGGGAGAGGGAACUGGAAUUCCCGGUGUGGCGGUGAAAUGUGUAGAUAUCGGGAGGAACACCAGUGGCGAAGGCGGGUUCCUGGCCCAUGACUGACGCUGAGGUGCGAAAGCCGGGGGAGCGAACGGGAUUAGAAACCCUGGUAGUCC